rnacentral:tRNA from 1 species
UCUCUCGUAGCAUAGUGGUCGAAGCAUUGGUGCGUAAAGCCAAAGGUCCCGGGUUCGAUUCCCGGCGGGGGUG